rnacentral:rRNA from 1 species
AUUGAACGCUGGCGGCAGGCCUAACACAUGCAAGUCGAGCGAGCGGCGGACGGGUGAGUAAUGUCUGGGAACCUGCCUGAUGGAGGGGGAUACCUACUGGAAACGGUAACUCCUACCGCAUCCACUCAGAUGUGCCCCGAUGGGAUUAGCUAGUAGGUUGGGUAACGGCUCACCUAGCCGACGAUCCCUCGCUGGUCUGAGAGGAUGACCAACCACACUGGAACUGAGACACGGUCCAGACUCCUACGGGAGGCAGCAGUGGGGAAGAUUGGACAAUGGGCGCAAGCCGGAUGCAGCCAUGCCGCGUGUGUGAAGAAGGCCUUCGGGUUGUAAAGCACUUUCAGCGGGGAGGCGUUACCCGCAGAAGAAGCACCGGCUAACUCCGUGCCAGCAGCCGCGGUAAUAC